UCUUUUUUUUUCCAAAAUGAAAUUUUGGUGAAAUGAAUAUGAUCUAAUCAUUUUGAUAAAUUCUGUUUUCUGGCUAAUCUUACCCUCUUUCUUUAAAUAGCAGAUGGAAUUCUAUUCACUGUGUGUUAGCCCUCAAUGCAGGCUGCUACUACAGGAUCGUUUGACAAAGGAUGAACUCAAUUUAAUCUAAGUUAGCUAUACCCCGUACCAACGAAAACUGGAUCUACAUAAGAUCUGCUAACAACAGAAAGAUUAAGGGAAUCUGUGCCAUGCCGCUCAAGAWUCUUUAGAACCAUGUUGUAAAUUACCUGAAUAUUUGUCCAUAAUGAACAAGCUACUGCUCAAGAAUGCAGAUGCUGAGCAAGAUUUCCCUGCAAGAAAUUUUUGCUUCUGAUUAUCAUGGGACACUGUGUUCAUUGAUAUAGGAACUGAGAGGUUCUCCUCUCUCCCCCUUCAAGAUUUGCUGAAGAAAAUGCCCUAUCAUUGUACUGCCAAAAGGAAUGAAAGCCAGAAGCAGAGAAGAGACAAAAACAGAAACACAUUGGUUCAGUCUGCAUCUAUGACUGCUCGAUUGGACAAGAGGCAACAAAAACCAGAAGAGAAAGCAACAGAGAAGAUGAAGUCUAAAACGAAAUCUGAAAUCAAGCUCAUGACCAUCCUGAUGUAUCUCUCACCACUGUCUUUUUUAGUAGUCCUGUCCAUAUUCCUCUUCAUCCUCUUUCUUUCUUUUCCUUGAUUUCUCCCUUA
rnacentral:lncRNA from 1 species